UACAGAGGGUGCAAGCGUUAAUCGGAAUUACUGGGCGUAAAGCGUGCGUAGACGGUAGCGUAAGUCGGGUGUGAAAGCCCCGGGCUCAACCUGGGAAUUGCAUUGGAUACUGGCAGGCUAGAGUGCGGUAGAGGAUGGCGGAAUUCCCGGUGUAGCAGUGAAAUGCGUAGAGAUCGGGAGGAACAUCUGUGGCGAAGGCGGCCAUCUGGACCAGCACUGACACUGAGGCACGAAAGCGUGGGGAGCAAACAGG
rnacentral:rRNA from 1 species